AUUGAACGCUGGCGGUAGGCCUAACACAUGCAAGUCGAACGGCAGCACAGGAGAGCUUGCUCUCUGGGUGGCGAGUGGCGGACGGGUGAGGAAUACAUCGGAAUCUACCUUUUCGUGGGGGAUAACGUAGGGAAACUUACGCUAAUACCGCAUACGGCCUACGGGUGAAAGUGGGGGACCGCAAGGCCUCACGCGAUUAG
rnacentral:rRNA from 1 species